rnacentral:rRNA from 1 species
GACGAACCGUGCGAACGUUGUUCGGAAUCACUGGGCUUAAAGGGCGCGUAGGCGGGCCACCCAGUCCGGGGUGAAAUCUUUCGGCUCAACCGGAAAAGGGCCUUGGAUACUGGUGGUCUGGAGGGAGGUAGGGGCAUGCGGAACUUCCGGUGGAGCGGUGAAAUGCGUUGAUAUCGGAAGGAACGCCGGUGGCGAAAGCGGCGAGCUGGAUCACUACUGACGCUGAGGAACGAAAGCUAGGGGAGCAAACAGG